GAAAAUUAGCUAUUUUAGUAUUUGUCCAGUAGGUUUUCUCCUGCAGAAAGCCCCC
rnacentral:snRNA from 1 species